GUUCUUGUACAAUCACCAAAGUUAAGCAAUAUCGAGCCAGGUCAGUACCUACAUGGGUGACCACUUGGGAAUACCAGGUGCUGUAA